rnacentral:misc_RNA from 1 species
UUUCCGUAGGUGAACCUGCGGAAGGAUCACUAUUGAACAACCGAGCUGCGUGGUCUCUCUCCCACCCGACAGGUCGCGCACGCCCGAGUGCCUUCACACCCAUCCAUCUCAACCCUACGUGCACCACCGCGAGGGACCAACUUUGGCUUGUUCGGAGGGGGGGUUUCGUUUUCCCAUAAACAUUGUAUGCAGUGUAGAAUGUACAUUUUGUUUUUGCGAUCACGCUGUCAAAUCAACUUUGAACACCGGAUCUCUUGACUCACGCACCGAUGAAGAACA